CGUAAACGAUGCGAGUACCUGCACGCAGAAUUUGAAGAUUUAAUUUUCUAUGGAAUCUGCGAUUAUAAUGAAGCUCCACUUUUUGUCUGUGGGUGACGCCGUAAUUCUCGCGAUUAAAAAUUAUCUGAUAAGGUCACGUAUUAACGGCUGUGUUGAACAAAGUUAAGUCGGUUUUAUCGCAAGUCCGACAUUUAAUCGUAAUUUUAUGGUUGUCGAUUAGGUAGAAGCUUUCGGUGAAUCUUCAGGCAGUUUUCUAGAGGAAAAAAUAAUGCAGCAAAUAAGACUACAGUAGGAGGGAACAAUGGACCGAUUUUCAAGAAAAAUUCGUACGCGGGUUAACGACGCGCAGAAACGACACAAUAGCCUGACAGUUAUACGAAAAGCGGCGCACACUGCCUAUUUAUAUAAGUGUAUUUCUGUACACUGACACCUACCUAACUCUUGAAAGGAGUGCAAGGGUCGGCGAGGAUGCCAAAACAUAAUGGCAGAAAGCAGAGAUACGCGCGAAAACAAAGUCAACCGAGGGGACGUUCGAGUUUCUUUGUGUAAGUCACGUACGUUUUAGUCCGUGUAACAUGAGUUUUUUUUUUUUACCCGACUGUUUUUCGUUCUUUUACGUACGAGAUGAAAUAAAUUUGUACUCAAAGAA